CACGUAGGGGCCAAGCGUUGUCCGGAUUUAUUGGGCGUAAAGAGCUCGUAGGCGGUUUGACAAGUCUGAUGUGAAAUCUAUGGGCUCAACCCAUAGCCUGCAUUAGAAACUGUCGGGCUUGAGUAUGGGAGAGGUGAGUGGAAUUUCCGGUGUAGCGGUGAAAUGCGUAGAUAUCGGAAGGAACACCUGUGGCGAAAGCGGCUCACUGGACCAUAACUGACGCUGAGGCGCGAAAGCUAGGGGAGCAAACAGG
rnacentral:rRNA from 1 species